ensembl:lncRNA
CUCCACACUUUUCACAAAAUUACCUUUCUACACAUAAUCUAUCUUGUAUAAACCGUAGUUAUGUUAAAUCACAGCGCUAUAGGGGAAGUUUCUUGCUGGGGCAUAAAUUAGCUCAUGCUGGUUUAUAUCCAAUGAGUUUUACAUCUCUGCAUUUAUUUUUAUCUGAUUCAUGUGUUAAAGUGUGUUGGUUUGAUAGCAAAUCCCAUUUGAAAACAUAUAUGCCAUGGCAUUUUCAGCUCAGAGAAGAUAGUGUGUGCUUUGAGAAAUUUUGAAAUAAAAAUCAAAUAUCAAACAUGCUAUAAGGUUCAGCUCAAUUGCCUCUCCUCCUUGAAGAUCACCCUAAACUCUACCCUCUCCCUGACCCCUCACACUCCUUUUUCCUGCCUCCUCAUAUUGGUUUAUUUUAUCUUUGUCAUUUCUCCUUAUCUUAUGGGUUUAUGUUCCUCUCUUUUCCCUCCAGUCAGACAUUCCAACUAAACUGUAAUCUGCUUAAGGUCAGGAUCUGUACCCAAUAUAUUUUUUUAGCCCUCCUAAGCACAUCAUACAAAGUGCAAGGCCAUUGUCUAUGCUCAGUAAAUGUAAAUUGAAUGAGCUCAGUCAUGGAAAGUAAUAAAUGAAUUUUUUUCUAAAUGCACCAUGCCUCUGGAAACCCACAGUGCUCACAUUUUGCGUUAUGAGCUCAUUUUAGAGUGAUUGGAUGCCUUUUAUUGGCUAAUGUCCGCCAUGUGGUAAUGUCUUCAUUUGCUGAGUUGAUGUUCCAAAUCUUACAAUUCUUUGUCAUAAUUAUUAGUUUUCCCCCUGAAUUUUGUGCUUCAUUGAGGUUUUAAAGGGUAAAAUUAACCUCCCAGCUUUUCCUCCAUGAAUUUAUAAUUUCAUUGUGAUUUCAUUGCUAUAUUGGCUUCCAUUUCAGAGGUUUGUCCAAAGUUUAGGUGAUUAUGUGUCUGUUGUUUUUCUCCUCUCACAAAUGCAGUUUAUUUCCUCACCAUCUAGUUUGCUCAACGGUACAGCUAUAGACACAGCAGCAUGAGGAAUUCUAACUAUUAUUUACUUAGAAAAGAUCUAUUAAGGGAAAUGAAACAUUUUUUAACCUGUGUUAAAAUUAGACCCAAGUUUAUGAAAAUACAGACCUCAUUCACCCAAUAUUCUUCCCUGCUUUUGUAUCUGUUUAUCUGGCAUUAGUCAACAUUUGCUGCAGAACACAACACUGUAAAAAGUACAUCAAUUUCUUAAGGGAUAUUUUAAGAACAAAAUUUUUUAGCCUCUAAACAAUGUAAGCAUUUGAUUACUUGAGCCGGAAAUAUACAGCUCAAAUUUCACUUAAAGUUAUACAUGAUUAUAUACAUUAAGAAAUGUGUCUUGAGAUUCUUCAUUACUCAACAUCGGGUAAAACUGUGGUAGGGACUCAAACUACUUUCCAUGAUUGCUUGUAGGUAGACACCUAAAAGUACUUUGUAGGUAGGAAAAAAAAAAAAAAAACUCAUCUAUAGGAUCAGAAAAGCUACUUCAGCCUGGAUGCAAACUAAACUUGAUCAGUCAUAAUACUUCUUGAGACUUCCUAGGGAAAAAAAACAGAAUACUAAUAUUCAUCUCACCUCACUGUAUCCUUUGCAAAAUUAAUAUAUAGAAAUCUGCUUCAUCUAUGCCUCUGAAUGCCUCCAAUCCCAAAGCCUGCACCCAGCUACCACCCUUAUAUAUUACAUUUUCCUUUCUCAAACUGUGGAACCAGUUUUAGCCCCAUCAGAAGAAGAAGAAACUGGGCCAGUAACUCAGGAACUGACAGUUUAGAACGGAAGUAAUCCUAUGGGGCUGUAAUACAAGGUAACUUGGAGGAGGACCCAGCUGAGUAGUUCGGCCACAGAGGCCAGAGCAGACUUCAUGGCAUUGCACCCAGAUGAUUGCUUAGGAACUGGCCCCUGGUACACGGAGGCUGAAGAAGAUACCGAACAGGCAGACCAUGGCAGGUUGCAGGGAAAGCUCAUUUCUGCUCCACAGAGCAUCAAGAGUAGCAGUCCACAUGGCUUCCCUGGUGGUAAAGAAGCAGCCUGCCAAUACAGGGGGCACAGGUUAGAUCCCUGUCCGGGAAGAUCCCACAUGCCUCAGAGCAACUAAGCCUGUGAGCCACAACCACUAAGCCUACAUGCUACAACUCCUGAAGCCCACACACCCCGUGCUCUGCAACAAGAGAAGCCGUCGCAAUGAGAAGCCCACAUACCACAACUAGACACUAGCCCCCACUUGAUGAACUGGAGAAAAGCCCGCACAGCAACCAAGACCCAACUCAGCCAAAAAUAAAUAAAUUAACUGAAAAAAAAGAACACUUGACAGUCCAGCUGAAGGCAGAUUGAUCUACCUACAAGAUGGUGCACUCAAUGCAGCUGGAAAGUUGGGGCUGACUGUUGCCUGGGAGGAGCCUCAGUUCAUUUCCACGUAGCCUACACCCCGACAUAGCACACUGGCUGGGUUCUUAUGGGGUACAUCUCCAGAUGGGGGAGCCGGGCACAAAGGAUAUCCUUUCUCAUAACUUAAACUUUGAAAUCUCAUAGCAUCACUUCUUUCGUACUCUCUCGGUCGGGAAAUGGUCAUAAAAGCCACGGAGCUUUGUGGGGCAGAGAUGCGGACUCCACCUCUUGCUGAAGGAGUGGUGACAUCCUGGAAAAGCGUGAGGGAGAGGAGGUAUUGCUGUGGUCAUUUGGGGAACGUCCAGUCUGCCACAACCUGCACCCUUGAAUCUGGUUUUCCUCAAAGGAAAUUUGUACUUCACUGAGGAAUGACUGGAAUGUCCAGCUACUCUGCGAUUGGGUUAAAGCUGCCCUAUCUAAGAGCUUGGGAUAGCAGAGGACUGCUCAUUCGUCAGCCACAACCCUGUGUGAAGGUUGAUAAUGGGGUUUUCCCAUGCCCCCUGAUAGAUAGGUAGGGAAUUCCCAGGCACUGGGCCAUGGAUGCUAGAAGGAAACCGAUCCAUGUAUCAGGCUGAAAGGUGAAGGGGAGACGAAACCCGAGAACAGAUACUGAUCGCCAAUGAAGAAAGAAAUCAACUGCAUUUAUUGAGCCCUGUUGUAAGGGCUAUUUUACUGAGAUUGGAAAAUCUUCAUGCAAUGUUGCCUUUCCACUGACCAAAAAGUCUUUAAGCCAUUAUAAAGCUUGAAAAUUUCAGUGUACCUUCUCAUUUAACCCCCAAAGCGAUCCUAUCAGCAUCAUUAUCCUAAGAGCAUCCGAUGAGACUAUGUUAAAACUAGCACCCUUGGCAUGGAAGGAUGGCUUCAGCCGCAGAGGAGGUGCAAAGUUUCUCAGAGAAAGUGCUUCAAGUCCAGUAUUCACAGUACUCUGCUGACUCCGCUGACUCACGUCACAUGCCGCAAGCCCAUCAACGACUGUGCAGAUUGAUUCAAGAAAACAGCAGCACAGGGAUGGGUAUUUCUGUCCUUGCAGCUUCUCCAGGCAGUUUACGGAGAAGUUCAAUGAAACAGGCUCUAUGCAGCCCGUCCUGUACUUCUUUUAUCCCAAGAAAUGUUCAUUUGUUUCUAAUAUUCGUUCUCUUCUCCAAAUCAAUUCCUUAUCUGUAACAAAAUGUCUCUUUUCAUCCAAUUCCGUGAAAUCCUGAAGCAUCAGAAGGAUGUUUUUACAAAAUGGUUCCAUUUACAAGUAAUUCUAUCGCAAAGCCCCUGAGGAUCAUGCUGCAGCGAAGUUUUAGUAUAAUAUUCUCUUGGAUGCAAUAAUUCAGCCAUUGUAGCUCAUAUCACGGGAUCCUUGGUUUAAUGAGAGUUUUGCUGCAAGGCAUCCAAUAUCCACCCAGUGCACUUAAGAAAAUCAGGUAAAACAGGUGUUUCCUCAAUUAACAAUUUAGAGUUUUGUUACAUGAAAAAUAAGUGAACCGAAAUAGAAGGUAAUAUUCCUAGCAAAACAUACCAGUAUUCUACGCUUCCUGUUUUCCCAAAGCCCUUGAAUGUAUCAUUU